UCAGUUCGGAUUGUAGUCUGCAACUCGACUACAUGAGGCUGGAAUCGCUAGUAAUCGCGAAUCAGAAUGUCGCGGUGAAUACGUUCCCGGGUCUUGUACACACCGCCCGUCACACCAUGGGAGUCAGCAACGCCCGAAGUCAGUGACCUAACCGAAAGGGAGGAGCUGCCGAAGGCGGGGCCGGUAACUGGGGUGAAGUCGUAACAAGGUACC
rnacentral:rRNA from 1 species